rnacentral:misc_RNA from 1 species
GAUGAAGAACGCAGCAAAAUGCGAUACUUGGUGUGAAUUGCAGAAUCCCGUGAACCAUCGAGUUUUUGAACGCAAGUUGCGCCCGAAGCCUUUUGGCCGAGGGCACGUCUGCCUGGGCGUCACGCAUCGCGUCGCCCCCCACAAUUCUCCGUAAAGGGAACAUGUGUUUUGGGGGCGGAUAUUGGUCUCCCGUGCUCAUGGCGUGGUUGGCCGAAAUAGGAGUCCUUUCGAUGGACGCACGAACUAGUGGUGGUCGUAAAAACCCUCGUCUUUUGUUUCGUACUGUUGCUCGCAAGGUAAACUCUUUAAAAACCCCAAUGUGUCGUCUCUUGACGACGCUUCGACCGCGACCCCAGGUCAGGCGGGACUACCCGCUGAGUUUAAGCAUAUCAAUAAGCGGAGGA